rnacentral:rRNA from 1 species
GACGGAAGGUGCAAGCGUUGCUCGGAAUCACUGGGCGUAAAGGGUGCGUAGGCGGCCGCGCAAGUCUGGCGUGAAAGCCCCGGGCUCAGCCCGGGAAGGGCGCUCGAAACGGCGCGGCUCGAGUGCCGGAGGGGAGAGUGGAAUUCCUGGUGUAGCGGUGAAAUGCGCAGAUAUCAGGAAGAACACCAAUGGCGAAGGCAGCUCUCUGGGACGGUACUGACGCUGAGACGCGAAAGCGUGGGGAGCGAACAGG